CGCAGGCGGAUCUUUAAGUCGGUGGUGAAAGCCUGCAGCUUAACUGUAGAACUGCCUCCGAUACUGGAGAUCUUGAGUCGAGAAGAGGGUGGCGGAAUUCCAGGUGUAGCGGUGAAAUGCUUAGAUAUCUGGGAGAACACCGGUAGCGAAGGCCGCUACCUGGUCUCGAACUGACGCUCAUGGACGAAAGCGUGGGUAGCGAACAGGAUUAGAUACCCUGGUAGUCCACGCCGUAAACGAUGGAUACUCGGUGUUGGCCGUAUGGUCGGCGCCCAAGCUAACGCAUUAAGUAUCCCACCUGGGAAGUACGAUCGCAAGGUUGAAACUCAAAGGAAUUGACGGGGGCCCGCACAAGCAGUGGAGCAUGUGGUUUAAUUCGAUGCAACGCGAAGAACCUUACCUGGGCUCGAAAGACUAGAUUAUCCUCCGGUGAAAGUCGGAGGCGCUUCGGCAAUCUAGACAGGUGCUGCAUGGCUGUCGUCAGCUCGUGCCGUGAGGUGUUGGGUUAAGUCCCGCAACGAGCGUAACCCCUGUCCUUAGUUGCCAUCAGGUAAAGCUGGGGACUCUAAGGAGACUGCCUACGCAAGUAGUGAGGAAGGUGGGGAUGACGUCAAGUCCUCAUGGCCCUUACGCCCAGGGCUACACACGUGCUACAAUGGUGACUACAAUGGGUCGCGAUACCGCGAGGUGGAGCCAAUCCCAAAAAAGUCAUCUCAGUCCGAAUCGCAGUCUGCAACUCGACUGCGUGAAGCUGGAAUUGCUAGUAAUCGCGUAUCAGCGUGACGCGGUG
rnacentral:rRNA from 1 species